GUCAGAGCUGAGGUCAGCAUCAGUUAUUUACAUGAAAAACCUUGGGACACCUACCUUCCCCAAAGUCCGAUUUAGAAUUUUAGCUUCUCUAAAAACACGUGAACUUCUAAAACCAAGUGGUAUUAAUCUUCUCAAAAAUCUACUGCUAAUUAAAAAAUCUCUUAGCACCAGAAGAAACAUUCAACUAGGCCAAUGGUUCCUAACAUAAAAUGGGAUACUUCAAGGGAUAGGGGGCACCAGUCUGUAUAACAACCGGCAUUGCGGAGAUUUAAGAAAACCACUGGUGUGGACGGGAGGAGGCUUUCAUACAUAAAAAAGUAAAGUGUUGCCAGGUCUUCCCUAAAAAUCAGUUUGCCUUUUUCUAUGACAGCUCACAUGUGGAAUUAGUCAAUGGAUGGUUUCACUGGCAGUCUAUGUGAACAACGGCCAGAUGAGAGCAAACAAUGGGCCUGGCUGAAAGCCAGAGCUUACUGCCUUUAGAAGUUGACCCUGCUGUCAGCCAUAACCACUCGUGAACUCUCAGAGAAUGUGUCUGAAUGUGAGAAGGAAGAACUAAGUACUUUGACAUUACUCAAGGCGCAGGUUCGAGACCUGGCUGCUCCACUUCCGAUCCAGCUCUCUGCUAUGGCCUGAGAAGGCAGUGGAGGAUGGCGCAAGUCCUUGGACCCCUGCACCCGCGUGGGAGACCCAGAGGAAACUCCUGGCUCCUGGGUUCAGAUUGGCACAGCUCCAGCCAUCGCAUCCAACUGGGGAGUGAACCAGCAGAUAGGAGACCCCCUUCCUUUCUGCCUUUCCUUCUCUUUCGGUGUAACUCUGAUUUCAAAUAAAUACAUAAAUCCUAAAUUAUUUUAACUAACAUUACUGUCCCCUAGGGUGCCUAUAUCAGGAGACAGGAGCUAGAAAUUGAACCCAUGUACUGUGUUCUGGAAAGCAGGCAUCUUAACUAGGCUAAAUGCCAACCACAAUAUAGGUGUUUCUUUUUUUUUAGUUUUUAACAGUUUCAAUAUAGUUCAUAGACAAUACCACAGAUGUUUUCUAUACACAUCUCUCAUGCAUCUUCUCAAACUACUGCUAUCAAAAUAUCCUCAAAGAAUUUUCUACAUAUGUCUAUUUUAACAAUAAUCCCACUGUAUUCUUGCUUUAUAGCUCUGGCUAUUUCCUUAGACUGAACUUCUGGAUCAUCAGGAUCUGUAUUAUUUCUUUUUCUAUUUCUAAUAUUCCAUACAGGGUCAGUAAAUUAAUGAAACCGUAAUACAACAGUCUUUUUCCAAAGGGAUCAAAAUCUAAAUGAAAGCCAUAAUGAGGGGGGCCGGCCCUGUAGCAUAGAAGGUAAAGCCUCCACCUUCAGUGCUGGCAUCCCAUAUGGGCGCUGGUUCGGGUCCUGGCUGCUCCACUUCUGAUCCAGUUCUCUGCUAUGGCCUGGAAGAACAGUAGAAGAUGGCCCAAGUCCUUGGGCCCCUGCACUCUUGUGGGAGACCCAGAGGAGGCUCCUGGCUCCUGGAUUGGGAUCAGCACAGCUCCAGCUGUUGCAGCCAACUGGGGAACGAACCAGUGGAUGGGAGAUCUUUCUCUGUUUAACUCUUUCAAAUAAAUAAAUAAAAUUAAAAAAAAAAAAAAAAAA